rnacentral:rRNA from 1 species
ACCCCUACGGGAGGCAGCAGUGGGGAAUAUUGCACAAUGGGGGAAACCCUGAUGCAGCCAUGCCGCGUGUGUGAAGAAGGCCUUCGGGUUGUAAAGCACUUUCAGUCGUGAGGAAGGUAGUGUAGUUAAUAGCGUGCUCAUUUGACGUUAGCGACAGAAGAAGCACCGGCUAACUCCGUGCCAGCAGCCGCGGUAAUACGGAGGGUGCGAGCGUUAAUCGGAAUUACUGGGCGUAAAGCGCAUGCAGGUGGUUUGUUAAGUCAGAUGUGAAAGCCCGGGGCUCAACCUCGGAAUUGCAUUUGAAACUGGCAGACUAGAGUACUGUAGAGGGGGGUAGAAUUUCAUGUGUAGCGGUGGAAUGCGUAGAUAUAUGAAGGAACACCAAUGGCGAAGGCAGCUUACUGGACAAGUAUUGACGCUGAGAUGCGAAAGUGUGGUAGCAAACAGGAUUAGAUACCCUGGUAGUGUAC